rnacentral:rRNA from 1 species
GAUGAACGCUGGCGGCGUGCCUAACACAUGCAAGUCGAGCGGAGAUUUCCGAAGUAGAAAUGCGGAGGGGAUUUUAGCGGCGGACGGGUGAGUAACACGUGAGCAAUCUGCCUUCAGCUGGGGAAUAACAUUGUGAAAACAGUGCUAAUACCGCAUGACAUGUCACCGGGGCAUCCCGGGGACAUCAAAGGAGCAAUCCGGCGGAAGAUGAGCUCGCGUCCGAUUAGGUAGUUGGUGAGGUAAAGGCCCACCAAGCCGACGAUCGGUAGCCGAACUGAGAGGUUGAACGGCCACAUUGGGACUGAGACACGGCCCAGACUCCUACGGGUGGCUG